AUGCUCGCUUUGGCAGCACAUACACUAAAAUUGGAACGAUACAGAGAAGAUUAGCAUGGCCCCUGCGCAAGGAUGAUGUGCAAAUUUGUGAAGUGUCCCAUAUUUAA
ensembl:snRNA U6 U6 spliceosomal RNA